rfam:Salmo salar isolate Sally breed double haploid chromosome ssa15, whole genome shotgun sequence.
CCCUGUGGCUCAGUUGGUAGAGCAUGGUGUUUGCAACGCCAGGGUUGUGGGUUUGAUUCCCACAGGGG